rnacentral:rRNA from 1 species
CUUGCUUCUCUUGAGAGCGGCGGACGGGUGAGUAAUGCCUAGGAAUCUGCCUGGUAGUGGGGGAUAACGUCCGGAAACGGACGCUAAUACCGCAUACGUCCUACGGGAGAAAGCAGGGGACCUUCGGGCCUUGCGCUAUCAGAUGAGCCUAGGUCGGAUUAGCUAGUUGGUGGGGUAAUGGCUCACCAAGGCGACGAUCCGUAACUGGUCUGAGAGGAUGAUCAGUCACACUGGAACUGAGACACGGUCCAGACUCCUACGGGAGGCAGCAGUGGGGAAUAUUGGACAAUGGGCGAAAGCCUGAUCCAGCCAUGCCGCGUGUGUGAAGAAGGUCUUCGGAUUGUAAAGCACUUUAAGUUGGGAGGAAGGGCAGUAAAUUAAUACUUUGCUGUUUUGACGUUACCGAUAGAAUAAACACCGGCUAACUCUGUGCCAGCAGCCGCGGUAAUACAGAGUGUGCAAGCGUUUAAUCGGAAUUAC